rnacentral:rRNA from 1 species
UACGGAGGGUGCAAGCGUUGUCCGGAAUCACUGGGCGUAAAGGGCGCGUAGGCGGCUCGGUAAGUAGGGGGUGAAAUCCUGCGGCUUAACCGCAGGGCUGCCUUCUAAACUGUCGAGCUCGAGCACGGUAGAGGCAGAUGGAAUUCCCGGUGUAGCGGUGGAAUGCGUAGAGAUCGGGAAGAACAUCAGUGGCGAAGGCGGUCUGCUGGGCCGUUGCUGACACUGAGGCGCGACAGCGUGGGGAGCAAACAGG